rnacentral:rRNA from 1 species
UAUGCUUAACGCAUGCAAGUCGAACGGUGUAUGAUAGCUUGCUAUUAUACAUAGUGGCGCACGGGUGAGUAAUGUACAGGAAUCUGCCGUUUGGUGGGGGAUAGCUUGGAGAAAUCUGAAUUAAUCCCGCAUAAUGCCUAAGGGUAAAAGGCUUCGGUCGCCAAAUGAUGAGCCUGUAUUCGAUUAGCUAGUUGGUAGGGUAAGAGCCUACCAAGGCGACGAUCGAUAGCUGGUUUGAGAAGAUGAUCAGCCACAAUGGAACUGAGACACGGUCCAUACUCCUACGGGAGGCAGCAGUGGGGAUAUUCCGCAAUGGGCGAAAGCCUGACGGAGCAAUACCGCGUGUAGGAUGAAGGCCUUAGGGUUGUAAACUACUGUCAGCAGGGAAGAAAUCAAUGACGGUACCUGCAAAGGAAGCACCGGCUAACUCUGUGCCAGCAGCCGCGGUAA